GUAGUCCACUAGCAGACCCAUGACUGCCGCCAUCGUGCCCAGGAAGCGAUUUUCCGUCGCCAACCCUCACUGCCGCCGCCGCCCACCAGGCCCAGGAUGAGCUCAGCGUUUUCCCUUCAGUGUCUGUAGCCAUAGCUACGGUGCUUCCGUCGCGCUUGACAAUUGAGGCGCGCACUGUGCCUGCGCUGCGCCUGGCGAAAGCCCCUCCCCCGUCCCACCGGAGAGGGCUAGGCCUUCUGGGUCGGGGCGCUGUGAGGCCUGAAAUUUACUAUUAAUUACACCGGACAAAAGGAUCUUUGAGAUAAGUGUACCUCAAAGCAUUUCUCUCCUGUUUUCAAACAGGAGAGAAAUGCUUUGUCUUAGUUACUUUUCUAUCACUGUGCUAAGAUAUCAUGACCAAGGAUGCUUACAGAAGUAACAUUUGGUUGGGUACCUAGAGUUUCAGAAGGUAAGUUCAUGACCAUCAUGACAGGGACCAUAGUGUCAGACAGGAAUGGCAGGCAGAGAACCAGACAGAACAGUGGAUCUGAGAGCUUACAUCCUGAUCCACAAGUUUGAGGCAAAGAGCUAACUGAAAAAUAAUGUGGGAUUUUAAAACUUCAAAGCCCACCCAUAGUGACACACCUCUUCAACAAGAUCACACUUCCUAAUUUUUCCACCAAAGGGGGACCAUAUUUUCAAACAUAUGAUACUGUAGGGGUCAUUUUCAUUCAAAGAACUACACUCCUCAAUAGCUUCCUACGUAGCCAAGAAUUAAGAGAAAAAAUUUCAAUGUCCCAAAGCAUCCCAGGCAGACUCUUGUGUGCUGUUGUUGUUGCUGCUGUUACGUUUUUGAGACAGAUGUUCUUUCUGUAGACUGUCAUGUGAUCUUCUUGAUAAUACCCUUUGGUUCACUAUAGUAUUUUACUUUGAUGAAGUCCAAACUUUUAUUGAUUUUCUAUGAUUUUUAUUUCAUAUCUAAGUAUUCACUGUUGAAUUUAACAUCAUGAAGAUCUACUUCUAUGUAAGCUACACAUAAUUAUAGCUCUUAUAUUUGGGCCUUUGAUCCAUUUGGGGUUGACUUUGUAAUGGUAGGGUUCUCAUUUUACCUUUUUUAAAAAUCUAUGUUUAUUUUCUCAGUGUGUAACUCUCUGUGUGUACAUAUGUAUGUGUGUAUCUGUGAUGACCAAAAGAGGGUGUCAGAGCCCCCAGAGCUGGAGUUAGAGGUAAUUGUGAGCUACCCAGCAUAGAUGCUAGGAACUGAACUUAGUUCUUUGGAUGAGAAUCAAGUUCUCUUAACCACAGAGCCAUCUCCCCAGCCCCCAUUUACCCUUUAAAUGCAUAUUGUUUACAUUUUGUUUGCAAAUAUUGACAUUAACCCAAGGUAAUCAUUGUUCUUCCUACUAAUACUAAACUACUUUCCCAAUCUGCAAGUUUAUGUUAAUUUCUUUCUUUUCUUUAUCAAAGUUGUUUUUCAAACCUAGAAUUGAGCAUUACCUUCCUGAAUAUAUUUAUUCUAUUAAGGUCUCAGAUCGACUAGUGGACAUUGAAAUGGAUGUUUUGUAAAUGAAGUUUUCCCAUGACAUAAGGUAAAGGCAUAAAGGUACUCUGUGUUCCUAUCUACACAUGAACACAUCAGCAUCUACUGAAGCUAUGCCUUGCUUUCUCACCCAACAACUGCCAGGCUGCUGAAACUGAUAAGCACAGACAGGGAAGCCUGAUUGCUGAGGUUGGCUGAUGGCCAUCCCAAACCCUAAAAUAACUACCAUCACAUUUCACUAACAAGGGAGAGAAUGAUGCAAGUCCAGAUUUGUUUUGCUGAAGGCUGGGAGCCACAAAGGAGGAAGGAAAUACAGCACAGUGAUGAAGCUACACAAGAGAGAUGACAGCCUUUCUUUCCUUAGAAGACAAGAUGGAGCUGAUCCCUAUUUGAUUCCCAGUGUGGAGGAUUUCUCACACUGGUACUCCUCCAGUGGGCUGUGGUAGGGCCAGCCUCAAACUGCGAAACACACAAAGAUGAUGUUGAACUUCUGAUCAUCCUGACUGCACUUCCUUAUUGGGAUUACAUGUGUAUACCAAACACAAGGCUUCAUGGAUGCAAGGUGUCUUUAGAGGAGCUCAGUACCACUCAGUGGUUGCUCCAACCUACUCAGUGAUCUGUGCUUUGGGAGGUGCUGACAAGUCCUCAGUGGCUCGCUGGGCACUCCAGUCUUUAGUAGGGAACUGCUGGAUGGGUACAGAGGGCACCUCAGACCAGUCUGCCACUUCUGGUUAAGCAGCAGUGAACUCAGGAGCUGGGACAGUCCAUUCACACUGGAAUUCCUCCUUGGUCAUGGAAUGUAUCUCCAUUUCAUGUUUCAAGUUUUGUCAAAGAGAUUCAGCAAUAAAAAUAGCAUGGUACUUGCUUAACGAUGAGCUAUUGACCAUUGGGAUAGAAUUGAGGUCCACCACUCAAAAGUACACUCCUACAGUCAUAGGAUCUUUGAAAAAUAAUCUGAUUUAUUAGGGAAAAACAGCAUAUUAAUGGUGCUUGCUAAGUUAUAUACAUCUACAUAAAAAAGAAGCUAGAUCUCUAUCACUCACAAUGCACAAUAUUACAUUAGAAGUAUCACAGAAGAACUGCAAGUUUUUCAUGAUAUCCUAAAAGUAACAGAAAAAAAGUAGUGGACACCUUUGAAUUUGCAGGAAAGAAUUUUCUGAAUAGGACCAAAAUAGCAUAGGCACAAACCUGAAGACCAUCAACUAAUAAAUGGGACGUCAUAAAACUGAAAUAUAUUUUGCACUUCAUCCUUUAGGUAAUAAAGCAGCCUACAGAAUGGGAAAAAUAGUUUUCAAAUGCAUGUAAAACUAACUUUAUUUCUAUGGUAGGCCUUUUUAUUGCUUCCCUUUGCAUAUCUGUAUCAUUUGCUUUUUUUUCCUUUUUUCAUUUAUUUGUUUAAACAUCCUGCUAACAGCUCACUUUCUCCUCUCAUCCCAAUAACACCCUUACCCCCAAUCCUCGAGUUUCCCCUCCCAUUCUCUGAGGAGAAUAGGUGACUCCCACAUGGGUACCAACCCACCCUUGCACAUCAAGUCACAGCAGGAUUAAGUGUAUCUUCUCCCACAGAAUAUAGACAAGGGAUCCCAGCUAGGGAAAAAAGGAUCCAAAGACAGGUAACAGAGUCAGAGACAGCUCCACUAGAAUUGUUAGGGGACCCUCAUUGAGACCAAGCUGCACAUCUGCUACAUAUGUGUAGGGUGGUAGAUUCAGCCCAUGCAUGCUCUCCAUUUGGGUGGUUCAGUCUCUGUGAGCCCCCAUAGGCCCAGGUUAAUUUACUCUGGAGGUCUUCUUGUGGUUCCCUUGAACCCUCCAGGUCACUCAUUCCAAUGUGACUCCCCAAGCUCGGCCUAAUGUUUGCCUGUGGAUCUCUGCAUCUGUUUCCAUCAACUGUGAAAUGAAGUCUCCCAAAAAACAGUUAUGCUAGG